AUGUCAAAUAGUGUGGGACGACAUAUGGUAUCCACAUCUAUUGUUCCUGUAGGCCUGUCCCUACAGUUUGUCAAGGUGGUCCCUAUUGGUGGUUUAGUUUUUUGAGUGUCGGCGACAGUCCUGGCGACACUCAGUGUCGCAAGGCUUCAAGAUGUUUGUAUAGGGAGUCUGUCUUCGGCACAAGUGUAAGCCCUAAGAUGCCUUUGUUGCUCGCACCACUGACAUGAUGACAGUGUUGCUGAGCGGUAUCACUUAUGAACAACACUAUCGACAAUCCCCCGGCAACACUAACACGGUGUCAAGGGUGUCCGUGGUGGUUCAAUUGUUGAUUACUAGCGACACUUAAGGAAGACACUCAUAAGUGUCACCAGACGGCAUUGACGCCCAUGACCGUUCAAGUGUUGAUACUCACUUGGGAACAAAGUCGAAGUUGACGUAGCCAAAGUCAACCCAUAAGUCAACAUCAGAAGAUUGAAGAUUGAGCGAAGGAUUGUCGGGUGAAUUCAAGAUAUGAAGGAACGUAACUUGUGGUUGAAGAAAUAUACUUUUCUUGGACAAAAUAUAUAUAAACAUAUAGUUUUCUUGUUUAAGUGAUAGUUUUAGUGAGUUUUUAUCUCUAGGGACUUAAAGUGUAAUUAGCCUAAUUAUGUUUAGGCUAUAAACAGUAAGAGAGAUUAGGGUUUUAGGUAACACAAACAUUAGGAAUUUUUGUGGGUUCAUUGUAAACUUCUUAUGCAAAAUCUGUUUUGG
rnacentral:lncRNA from 1 species